UACGAAGGGGGCUAGCGUUGUUCGGAAUCACUGGGCGUAAAGCGCACGUAGGCGGAUCCUUAAGUCAGAGGUGAAAUCCCAGGGCUCAACCCUGGAACUGCCUUUGAUACUGGGGAUCUCGAGUCCGGGAGAGGUGAGUGGAACUGCGAGUGUAGAGGUGAAAUUCGUAGAUAUUCGCAAGAACACCAGUGGCGAAGGCGGCUCACUGGCCCGGUACUGACGCUGAGGUGCGAAAGCGUGGGGAGCAAACAGG
rnacentral:rRNA from 1 species